GGGAAAGGUUACUGUUUACAAUGACACAUCAGAAUAGAAUUUGGCUUGUACUUUCAUCUUUCAGUGCCAAGUAUGUUCUUGUUGUUGAUGAUGGUGGUGGUGAUGGUGGUGGUGGUGGUGGUGGUGUUGCUGGUACAAAUACAUUUUUCUUUCUCUGUAUACUGAGUGGUCUUUCUUCCCUUUUCAGCUGAAGAGAACGGUGGGUCUUUACGUCAGGGAGAAGAAAGUCCGUCCUUCACUGUGUUGUCCCCCACGAUGACUGCCAUUCCCUUCUUUGACAUCAUAAGAUUUCUCAAGAUGUGACAGACUUGGACACACACACACACACACACACACACACACACACACUGUGGUGUCUAUUAAAUGGUCCAGCCUUCCAUACAUUGCAGAGCGUUAAAUCGGUUAGUUAAAGCGGAGGUGGAUAUGUGACAUGUGUGAAACGAAAUAGCUCGUUUGCUAAGAAACUGCCCUUUUAAAAGGAUGCAGUAUCUGACUCAAGCAAUCACCAUAUUCCUGUGAAGCACACAAAAGCAGUUUAGCAAGAUGUACUACUUCUCGUGAAUUUACUUUUCGAUCACUACAUACUUGCUAUUUAAAGACCUGAACAACCAUACGACCUAAACAAGAUAACUGGUCUUCACACGCACUUGAGCUCGCCGUUUCUACUGGGCAGGGAGAGGCGGGAGCAUAGUCACUUGGUACUGGAGCGGAAGGUAAUCAGGUCGCAUUGGCCUCAGGUCAGAUGAUCCUCAAGGCAGAUUGGCCUGAGUGUAAAUAAGCCGCAGGACGUUUGGUUCUCGAAACACUUGGUACUCAAACCACUUGGUCUCUAAAAUGUCUCAGAGUGAUUGUAAUUAGGGAAAAGUGUACCAAGUGGGAGUCAAACGGUUAAACAUCAAUUAUACAGCUUUGUGACUCGUCUCUGAUCGCCGCCACACACACACACACACACACACAGACACACACACACACACUCAGGGCGGUGAAGCGGGUGGAAGUGCAUUGUUAUUACCUCCAUACACCACGGUAUCCUUAGCGCCCCUCCAAGCCUUGCCCCUAGACUCGGGUGUGUAGGAGGAAGAGGAGGAGGAGGGGCAAGGAGGAGUAUGGGUACCAUUCGCCCCAGUACCAAGUGACUGCAAACCAAGAGAGCCGGGGUUGGUGGCGCGGCCCUGUAAUCCGGCGACGCGGAGGCUUGGCCCAGUGGACGGCUUGAGGCGAGGGUGGCUGCUGCGCGACUCCCCAUGUUGAGUGGGCGUCCGCACUAAGCUCGGCAUCAAUAUGGCCGCCCCUGGGGAGCCGGGGGCGUCCAGGUUGCCUAAGGAGGUGUGAACCAGGCCAGGGGGGAAACCCAGCAGCCAAAAGCACCCGUGUGGAGCAGCAGUGGGAUCGCGGCCGUGAGUGGGCGGCGCGCAGUAGCCUUGCCAACACAGGCGAACCUGGUACUUUUAUUUUAUUCUUCUCAUUUUUGUCUAC